UACGUAGGGCUCAAGCGUUAUCCGGAAUUAUUGGGCGUAAAGAGCUCGUAGGCGGUUUGUCGCGUCUAUCGUGAAAGUCCGAGGCUCAACCUCGGAUCUGCGGUGGGUACGGGCAGACUAGAGUGUGGUAGGGGAGACUGGAAUUCCUGGUGUAGCGGUGAAAUGCGCAGAUAUCAGGAGGAACACCGAUGGCGAAGGCAGGUCUCUGGGCCACUACUGACGCUGAGAAGCGAAAGCAUGGGGAGCGAACAGG
rnacentral:rRNA from 1 species